rnacentral:rRNA from 1 species
GACGUAGGGCGCGAGCGUUGUCCGGAUUUAUUGGGCGUAAAGAGCUCGUAGGCGGCUCGUUGCGUCGGCUGUGAAAACCCGCAGCUCAACUGUGGGCUUGCAGCUGAUACGGGCGGGCUGGAGUUCGGUAGGGGAGACUGGAAUUCCUGGUGUAGCGGUGAAAUGCGCAGAUAUCAGGAAGAACACCCGUGGCGAAGGCGGCACUCUGGGUCGCACCUGACGCUGAGACGCGAAAGCGUGGGGAGCGAACGGG